UUUUUUUUUUGCUUUCGUUAAAUUUGCAGUUUUUUUCUGAUUUAGUUCCAAUGAGGACUGUUAUAUUUACUUUCUCUUUUGUCAAAAUUAAUGGAUUACGAAAUUGAAUUGGAAAUGUCGUGAUUGUUAUCACUAUUCACGAUCUGAUAUUGGGUCAGAAUUUUUUUUGAAGGAAUGUAGCAUCAUGAUCAUGACAUGAUCAUGCUGCAUUCGUUUAUAACUCAAUUUACUCACAUAUUUUGUAUUGUAUAAUAGCUUUUCUGAUCUUGCAAAUACUCUGUGAUUGCGGUUAGCGAUGUGAUAAUUAAGCACUGUGAAGGUAUCUUCCCAAAUUACCUUCUACACCAGCUUAUGCAAAAUGAAUCUUUGUAUUCUUGCCUUUUUGGUUAUGUAUCUGGGAUUGGAUAUUUGAGUGCAUUGAGUCGGAGAUAAAUUGUUUUAAGUAUGUUUUUGGCAAAUGUGGAGUUGAAUUCAUUAUAAACUGGGCUGUGUCCUUUGAAUCAUUGGAAUUUUGUUUCAAAAUUGUGCAUCAAAUUGUUUUGAUCCUAUGGGAAUGGUAUGUGUUUUCAUAUAAAGUUGGCAUUUGUUUGACAGGCAUAAGGAAAUGGCGGAAGGUGAGGAUAUUCAACCUCUGGUAUGCGACAAUGGGACUGGAAUGGUCAAGGCUGGCUUUGCUGGAGAUGAUGCUCCAAGGGCUGUAUUUCCUAGCAUUGUGGGUCGCCCUCGCCAUACUGGUGUGAUGGUGGGUAUGGGCCAAAAAGAUGCCUAUGUUGGUGAUGAGGCUCAAUCAAAGAGAGGUAUUUUAACUUUGAAAUACCCAAUUGAACAUGGUAUUGUUAGCAACUGGGAUGACAUGGAGAAAAUUUGGCAUCACACCUUCUACAAUGAGCUUCGUGUUGCCCCAGAAGAGCACCCAGUACUUCUAACUGAGGCUCCUAUGAAUCCGAAGGCUAAUCGUGAGAAGAUGACCCAAAUCAUGUUUGAGACCUUUAACACUCCUGCUAUGUAUGUUGCCAUUCAGGCUGUUCUAUCCUUGUAUGCCAGUGGUCGUACAACUGGUAUCGUGCUGGAUUCUGGUGAUGGUGUUAGUCACACUGUCCCUAUCUAUGAAGGUUAUGCUUUACCACAUGCCAUUCUUCGUUUGGACCUUGCUGGUCGUGACCUUACUGAUAGCUUGAUGAAGAUCCUCACCGAGAGAGGUUACAUGUUCACCACUACUGCUGAACGGGAAAUUGUACGUGACAUGAAGGAAAAGCUUGCUUAUGUGGCUCUUGACUACGAGCAGGAACUUGAAACCGCUAGGAGCAGUUCCUCCAUUGAAAAGAACUAUGAGUUGCCAGAUGGACAGGUUAUUACCAUUGGUGCUGAGAGGUUCCGUUGCCCAGAGGUACUCUUCCAACCAUCAAUGAUUGGAAUGGAAGCUGCGGGUAUCCAUGAGACUACAUACAACUCCAUCAUGAAAUGUGACGUUGAUAUCAGGAAAGACUUGUACGGUAACAUUGUCCUCAGUGGUGGCACAACCAUGUUCCCAGGUAUUGCUGAUAGAAUGAGCAAGGAAAUCUCUGCACUAGCCCCAAGUAGCAUGAAAAUCAAGGUGGUUGCACCACCAGAAAGGAAGUACAGUGUCUGGAUAGGAGGUUCCAUUUUGGCAUCCCUUAGCACCUUCCAGCAGGUAUUGUCUAUUUUUGUUUUUGGACUGCAAACAGAAUAGAGAUUUAAGCCUGAUUCUACUAAUAUUUCACCCUUUAUUGUCAUCCUCGUGUUGAGUGGUAUUGGCUGGUACACUGUAUGCUACGCUUAAGAAUAAUGCGUGUGAUAAUUAACGUCAAAUUAGUUACUAAUGGCAGGCAGCUCGAGAACAUUAGAUGGCAUACUGACUUGUCACAUAAAUCAUGCACAAGAUAUUUCUAUAUUCAGCUAUUAUAAUUGGUGCAUUAAAUGUUGUGAUGAUCGUUCACCAUUAAAAACAAUGCUAAAAUUUAAAACCAUCAACUCAAGAGCCAAUUUAGUGAUAUGAAAUCAGUCCACUCCUUGGCUAUGCUUUUUAGAUCUGAUUAGAGAAAUUUCUGUUCUUUUUGAGUGCAGAUGUGGAUUGCAAAGGCAGAGUAUGAUGAGUCUGGGCCAUCAAUUGUCCACAGGAAGUGCUUUUAAUCAUGCAAAGCUAAAGGCUAAAGGCGAGACACAUACUACACUUAAUUAUGUUUUUUGUUGCAAAAGGCUUCCAAUCAAGUGGUUGAAAAAUUUUCUUCUCCCUAUUUUAUUUCCAUAUUUUGAUUUAUUAUUCUUAUUCUUAUUUUUUUUUUCUGUUUCUGUUUCUGUUAAUGUAUGGACAAAAACGAGGGCGAGUGGAUCAAAUUUAAGAUUCUUUUUUUUUUUCCACUUUAUUUUUUUAAUUUGUUAUUUGAUUGUAGAAGAGUUGUUUAUUGUAGUUGAUUUGGUUUGGGUUAAUUUUCAGGGAUUGAUUACAUUAUUAUUUCUUUAAGGUUUAUUUCAAUUAAAUAAAACCAGUAAUUAUUAUAUUCCUU
rnacentral:misc_RNA from 1 species